UAAGGCUUCUGUCUAAUAUGCCUAUUGGGUAAUCCAUCACUAUUCAUGUCUUGCCUCCUCUCUUCCCAGGAUUGGACCAAGAGUCUAAAGCAGAGCCAAACCUAUAGACUGAGUUUCAUUAGCCCCAGAUAUGAAGUUAGGGAGUUUCAGUGCACAGAGCCCAGCAAAAGGAUGGGACUUAGCCAAAACUCCAAAUGAAAAUAUCAAAGUAGAACAAUCCUCAGAAAAUUGGAAUGUCAAUGUGGAAUUCAGUUUAGAUAACAUCAAUGUCUUCAUCAUCAUCUCCAGAAUCAUCAAACUGGAUUUCAUCGUCAUUCCCAGGACCAAAGGUGUCUAUUUUGUUGGUUUCGGCACGCUCUUGAAGUUCUCUAUAUGCCUUUAAACUUCCUGCUUCAUCUGCAUUGUACUUCAGUAUGACAUCAGCUUUGUUAACCUGGUAGUCUCAGAAAUCAACCAAUGUAACCUCCGAUGUAUUUAUCCAAACCUUUUUUCUUAAUUUUCUUAUGAUGUGAUGUAACCUCUUCACAACAUCAAAAAACAGAUUGCUUCUAAUCAUCCAUUUCCCAGGAUUUUGAUCACCUGGACAUAUAUUCUUGUUCGUCUUCCUUGAAAAUCAGCUUUUUUUUUUUCAGAUUCAUUUUCAUUCUUUCUUAUGCGCCUAAUUUUUUUUUUUACCUCCCUUACCUUUAUGCUUGGGUAUGGCUGUGGCAGCCUCUGAGGGGUCUCAGGGCCAGGUAGAAGGGAUUCACUUCACAGGGGAAGCAGAGAGUGAGCUCUAGGUCAUGAGCUGGACGCUCUGGAGGGCACAGAGUGUGUCUAUAACUUUCAAAUAUUCAUUUUGACCUAUAGGGAAAAUUCCAUGUAGGGAUUUGUUCCAAAUUAAUUAACCAACACCUGCCUUUGAGAAUUCAGUCACCUGAUUGACAAAGAAAGGUUGAACUGUAUCAACAAAUAGGCAAAGGUCCAAUCUGUUAUUGCCUUAGCCCUAGGAAAACUCUAAGACUCAGUUCCAUAGAGUAAUGAGGUAACCAUUCACCAAGCUAUCACUGGCUUUUGUAAUGUCUGAUCUUAAAAUCCCUGCAGUCCCAUGCUAACUGCAGCUCCAGAGAUUUGUGAGCUUGAGUCCAGAAUGUCUGGGGAAGAAUUCUUUCAAGAGCUUUUUGAGAUAAAAAGACCAUCAGCCCAGUGGCAAGAGCCCCUACUUUACGCUAUGAACUGUAUCUUUUCAACGUCACUAAAACUGCACAUUUGUUUUAUUGCAUCCCUCUUUGUAUAAAAAGCUUCUCAAUACCUCAUCAAUGUAUGUUUAUUUUCCUAUAGCCUCUAAAGAUCAGGAACUUCUCCAUUGCACAAAUGUUGCAUACUUGUUUCGCUAUAGCCUUUACAAACCAAAAAACAAGUGAAGCUUUUCAGCACCAAAUGAACGGGCAGGCUAAUUAAAUAAAAAGCACUUAGUUUGUGCCA
rnacentral:lncRNA from 1 species